rnacentral:rRNA from 1 species
CGUUGCUCGGAAUUACUGGGCGUAAAGGGCGCGUAGGCGGAUUAACAAGUUGGAGGUGAAAGCCCAGGGCUCAACCCUGGAAUAGCCUUCAAAACUGUUAAUCUGGAGUAUGGAAGAGGUAAGUGGAAUUCCGAGUGUAGAGGUGAAAUUCGUAGAUAUUCGGAGGAACACCGGUGGCGAAGGCGACUUACUGGUCCAUUACUGACGCUGAGGCGCGAAAGCGUGGGGAGCAAACAGGAUUAGAUACCCUGGUAGUCCACGCUGUAAACGAUGAUUGCUAGUUGUCAGGCAGUAUACUGUUUGGUGACGCAGCUAACGCAUUAAGCAAUCCGCCUGGGGAGUACGGUCGCAAGAUUAAAACUCAAAGGAAUUGACGGGGGGCCGCACAAGCGGNGGAGCAUGUGGUUUAAUUCGANGCAACGCNCA